rnacentral:lncRNA from 10 species
GGCAUAAAUCAAGUCCGCGGGGCAUGGAGGCUGCUGUCGCUGCAGCAGCUCAGCUUGCCCGGGGCGGGAACUCCCCCUUUCUCCUUUCGCCUCCCCAGCACCCACACCCUGUCUCCCCCUUAAUUCUUCCCUGGAUAAUAGCACCCUAACGACAACAGUCAUAAUAAUAGGGUUAGAACGACAGGGGAGGAAAACUCAACAGCCUAAAUAUCUCUGAAAACUGCAUCGCAAAAUGGAAGAAAGAGGGGGUCCCACUACUGUUUCAAAAGAGAGCCAUGGAAGUCAAAUGCUGAGGAUGGUGGCAUCAUAGGAUGAAUGGAGCUGGGUUCUUGAAACACUGCCUGGAGGAAAGACAGCAAAAAUGCCUCAUGAAUCCAACUGGACUGUUAGGAUGCUCACCCUUGGAGACCAGCAACAAUGUGUGCAGAAACCCAGGCCAUGUGGAGAGGCCCCACAUACGUGUCCAACUGAGGUCCCAGCUGACAGCUGGCAUUGACAUAAAACAGAGCUUCCUGAAAAACAACUAUUGAAGGAAUAUGAGUCACUGUCAAAAUUGUGAGUCAUCCAUUUCUUCUUGCCAGUGCAGCACACUCCCAGGGGACACGUGGCUUCACUCCUGAACAAGUUCAGUAAGCAGUGCUGGAGAGAAUACUGAAAACGUUAAAGAAUUAUGAAUACAGCUCAGAUCUCACUUUCCUGUUUUUUAGAUUUUGGGAAUUCAUUCAGGUGGAAACAGCAUUUCUUGCCAUCACAUGAUGGGGGUGUCCCCCUCUGCCAUGUUUCCCAUCAGUUCUAUCUUCCUCC